rnacentral:lncRNA from 1 species
GGGACAGAGAGUAGAGAGAGAGAGGUAGAGGGACAGAGAGUAGAGAGAGAGAGGUAGAGGGACAGAGAGUAGAGAGAGAUGUAGAGGGACAGAGAGUAGAGAGAGAGGUAGAGGGACAGAGAGUAGAGAGAGAGGUAGAGGGACAGAGAGUAGAGAGAGAGAGGUAGAGGGACAGAUAGUAGAGAGAGAGAGGUAGAGGGACAGAGAGUAGAGAGAGAGAGGUAGAGGAACAGAGAGUAGAGAGAGAGAGGUAGAGGAACAGAGAGUAGAAAGAGAGGUAGAGGAACAGAGAGUAGAGAGAGAGGUAGAGGGACAGAGAGUAGAGAGAGAGGUAGAGGAACAGAGAGUAGAGAGAGAGGGGUAGAGGGACAGAGAGUAGAGAGAGCGAGAGAGGUAGAGGGACAGAGAGUAGAGGUUCCUCUCUCCCAGUUUGACUUUCUCCUUCCAUUACGUUCCCCUACUCUUCUCCUUCCUCUCCCCCAUUCCUUUACAUCCUUCCCUCUCUCCUCUCUUCCCCCUGUUCUCCACCUGCCUGGUGGCCCCCUGAUCCCAAUUACUCUCUAUCUGGCUGGGCGUUGGAAUGGUGAACAUGCUCUGCUGUGUUUGGCCUGGCUGCCUGGGGGAACGGAACCCAGACUGUUGUUUUGUGUUGUGUAGAACCACUGCUGUGUUUUGUGUGUUGGGGUAAAAGUCGGCAUAGGAUAGACCUCCAUAGAUAUAAGCAUGCAUCUGGUAAUGAAUAGAUCCUACAAUCAACCAAUAAUCUACUUUUAUUACAAUACCACAGCACUGCACAUUACCCAAUAUUCAACCUUUCUGAACACAAGGAUCCAAUCAAACGGCCUAUGAAAUGAGCCAUGUUAUAUAUCACAGCACAACAGCUGUUGAAUGACAUACGACUGUAAACAGGAGAAUAUCACAACAUGCAGUAUUACAGCAACAUCUGUCUUUAUUCUCUUCUUCUGUGAUCCGUAAAAUAAAGGUAUGACAUUGGUGUCCAGUAGAAAAGCAGUGUAGACCUGCAUGGUGGGGGUUCAGCUCAACCAGUACCAGUACCAGAGGAAGUGUAGACCUGCAUGGUGGGGGUUCAGCUCAACCAGUACCAGUACCAGAGGAAGUGUAGACCUGCAUGGUGGGGGUUCAGCUCAACCAGUACCAGUACCAGAGGAAGUGUAGACCUGCAUGGUGGGGGUUCAGCACAACCAGUACCAGUACCAGAGGAAGUGUAGACCUGCAUGGUGGGGGUUCAGCUCAACCAGUACCAGUACCAGUACCAGAGGAAGUGUAGACCUGCAUGGUGGGGGUUCAGCUCAACCAGUACCAGUACCAGAGGAAGUGUAGACCUGCAUGGUGGGG